rnacentral:lncRNA from 1 species
CCUGAUAGGACCUAUAAAACAGCGUUGAUACAGAAGAUAUAUGGGCAGACCUCGGAAGAAGAUGGUUAUGUCGAUGGAGCUGGCGAGCACUACAAGCUGUUGGAGUACAAGCUUGCGGGCGUAGUACAAUGAAACAGAAAUGUAGAAGUUUAGAUUACAAGGGAAAACUGAAUUGAAAUUACAGAAAACUGAAACCAGGAGAAAGCCGAGUCGAGGAGGGUCCUCUGUCCGCAAGACGAGAUACGCCCCGGUAGUGCUCUCGGUUUGGCGUGUCGUCCCCAAAGAUGAAACGGCUUCGUCUCGUAGGUAGCAGCACCGCACACCAACGAGC